rnacentral:rRNA from 1 species
UUCUACAGCCAUAUCAUCUUGAAUGCACCCAAACUCAUUUGAUCUGGGAAGCUAAGCAGGGUCAGGGUGGGUUAGUACUUGGAUGGGAGACAACUAUAUUUUUAUUUC